UUUUUUUGCUCUUCUUUUAAGCCUGGAGCGACUUCGCUGAUUAAGUGUCGAUCGACUCGCCACCGAAAGGAAGUGACGUAAUUUCUGUCGGCCACACACCAGACGAACUUUCAGGUCGUCUUUUGUUUGUGUUUUUUUUUUCUUCUUUUAAUCCAAAAUGGAUGAAAUUUUAGGUUUUCCAGGAGGAUGUUAGAUGAUAAUUCGCUAUUUAAUUUUAUAGAGAGAUUAUUCAUUUGUAAACACAGUGGAUGCGCGCGCAACUUGCCUGCAGAACGAGCCGCUGGUUGCCAUGGUUAUCAGUAUUAAUGUGGCAGUUUUCACAUUAGCUAGCAUGUUGCCAGUCAGUGGACUACAUCUGUUUAUCACAGCGUGAUAAAAUAAGUUAUUCUACUAAACUGACAUUAGUGAAUGAGAUGCGUUUUAAGGACCCGCGCAUUAAAUGGAGUGACAUGCGCAGUAGAGUGACUGCUGACGCAACAUGACGUCGACUGACGUUGCUGGAACUGCAACUUCUGUUCAGGCAGCAACAGGUCUGAACCGGUGUUGUCAGUGCAGAUUUAGUGAUCAGGAGUUGGAGGUUGGGUGAAGGCGCUGGUCGACGUCAAU